rnacentral:rRNA from 1 species
AUGCACCGGCAGCUCAACCUCUCGCCGGCGCCGAAGCAGCAGCAGCACGACGACGGCGACGGCGGCGACGCGGUGGAGGCUGUCCCGCUGUGGGUGCCCGAGCAGUCCGCGGAGGCCAAGGCCGACAAGGCGCCCGGCGGCCGGCCGGAGAGGUCCAUCCACCUCAUCCCGCUGCUCACCUUCCUCUGCUUCCUCCUCCUCUUCCUCUGCUCCCACGCCCCUUCCUCCUCCGAUAUGUCGAGCUUCGGCGGUGGCGGCGGCGGCGCCGGCGGACGGAAGGCUGGCAACCGGAGGCUGAUGAUGCUAUAA